GACGUAGGGCGCGAGCGUUAUCCGGAAUUAUUGGGCGUAAAGAGCUCGUAGGCGGUUUGUCACGUCUGCUGUGAAAACUGGAGGCUCAACCUCCAGCCUGCAGUGGGUACGGGCAGACUAGAGUGCGGUAGGGGAGAUUUGGAAUUCCUGGUGUAGCGGUGGAAUGCGCAGAUAUCAGGAGGAACACCGAUGCGAAGGCAGAUCUCUGGGCCGUAACUGACGCUGAGGAGCGAAAGCAUGGGGAGCGAACAGG
rnacentral:rRNA from 1 species